rnacentral:rRNA from 1 species
GCUAAACGCGAAGAACCUUACUAAGGCUUGACAUGUACAGGAAAGUUCCAGAGAUGGUUCCCCCGCAAGGUCUGUACACAGGUGGUGCAUGGUUGUCGUCAGCUCGUGUCGUGAGAUGUUGGGUUAAGUCCCGCAACGAGCGCAACCCUCGUCUUAUGUUGCCAGCACGUAAUGGUGGGAACUCAUAAGAGACUGCCGGGGUCAACUCGGAGGAAGGUGGGGAUGACGUCAAAUCAUCAUGCCCCUUAUGUCUUGGGCUUCACGCAUGCUACAAUGGCCGGUACAAAGGGCUGCAAUACCGCAAGGUGGAGCGAAUCCCAAAAAGCCGGUCUCAGCUCGGAUUGGGGUCUGCAACUCGACCCCAUGAAGUCGGAGUCGCUAGUAAUCGCAGAUCAGCAACGCUGCGGUGAAUACGUUCCCGGGUCUUGUACACACCG